CAGUCGCCGCGGGAAUACGAAGGGGGCUAGCGUUGCUCGGAUUUACUGGGCGUAAAGGGUGCGUAGGCGGACCGUUUAGUUGGGGGUGAAAGCCCGGGGCUCAACCUCGGAAUUGCCUUCAAUACUGGCGGUCUUGAGUAUGGAAGAGGUAAGUGGAACUCCGAGUGUAGAGGUGAAAUUCGUAGAUAUUCGGAAGAACACCGGUGGCGAAGGCGACUUACUGGUCCAUUACUGACGCUGAGGCACGAAAGCGUGGGGAGCAAACAGGAUUAGAUACCCCAGUAGUCCCUGUCUCUUAUAC
rnacentral:rRNA from 1 species